CUCUUAUUUAAGUGAUUCUUUCUUACUUCAAUUUAAAGACAGGAGGAUUUUAUAGGCUGAGGAAUGGGUUCCUGCCUCUAAUUACUGUUGAGGUAAUUAAGCAGUGAAACAGUACUGGACAAUAAGGGAAUCCUACUGGAGGUAAGAAAAUUGAGAAUAUAAGACUCUCUGUUAUAAUUCAAUAAUAGCACUGGAGAGAAUUAUUCAUUUGCUGUGGGAGUUAAGCAGUCAGGUUUUUUCUGUUUUCUUUCUGCUUCUGUUAUUUUACCCGCUCCGUGUCUUUGGGCAAGUCCUCCUAACUUCUUGGUCCCUCAGUCUUCCCUUUCUGCAAAACACAAAUCAAACUGCCUUGCUGGAAGGCUGGAGGAAUGGAUGUAGUGCUUUAUAAAUACGCAACAAACUCUAUUUUCUGCUAGGAGGCAGAAUGUGUUUAUAUAUAUAUAUGUGUGUGUGUAACAUUUGCCAGUGUUCUUGGUAUUUCUUCAAGACAUAGCAAUAAGAAAAUAAACUUAAAAGCUACUCUGACAUAUCUUAUUGAGUGUCAGAGGUUUUUAUGAAAUAUUUGAUUCAAGGUUCUCUAUGAGCCUGCUUCUAAAGCAGCACUAAGGCAAGGCACAUUUGCUUAGCCUGCAUAUCCCUAGAAAGAAAUCAGAUAUACAUUUUUAAAAACAUCUUCAUUUACUUAUAAGAAGAGUAUCUAUCUGCCAUACUUCAUGUAUAAAAUGUUUCAUGUCUGCAUAACAUAUGCACAGAGCAUAUGUUUUUAAUUUUAGUUCAGUACAAUAUUUCAAAUUUAAACAAAUUAACCCAAGGCAUAAAGUGCUAUCAAGCUCUUUUUUUUCAUGUUUUUAAUACACAUCAGAUUGUACAGAAGCAUUACUAAUGAAAAAGGCAAUCAUAUACCUGAACAUAUUUUAUUUACUCUUCAUUAAGGACACAAUUUACCUGUCUUUUUGAUUUAGAAUUUCCUAUAGUGAAAGAAAGUUCUUUGAUAAUGAUCUUGCCUUGUUAUUUCUUCACAGAUUUUUGUAGUCAUUGCUUUAAGGGCUUUUUGAAUUGAAAGUGCCAUUCAAGCUUUGUUAUUCAGGGCUAUUGUCCUUAAACUUGUCCAGUUUCCGUGCUCUGUAACCAGGGAACAUAGACACCAUGGUCUCUGAACUACUUAUAAGAUGCUAAAGAUAACUAGGAAAAGCCAGUCAGAAAGCUUAAAUUUACUGUUGAGGAGUCUACAUUUUUAAUCCUGUGAAAUGGUAUCUAUUAUGUAUAUUGAACACGUACUCCAGUAAACCCUCUUUCUUGCACAGCAGGCUCAGCUUAACAUGGGAUGCUAUUUCUCCAGUUAUAAAUAUUCUAUGGCAAUGCAACCACCAAAGCAAAAUGGUUAUUGCUAGAAGAACAUUAAAGACGAGCCCAGGUUUGACACCUGUGUGAAGCAAUACCUUUAAGUCUCAUACCAAAAUUUAUUUGAAUGUUCCUUCUUCUGUCCAUGAGGACUUUUUCGUCACUGGCAGGGCUGCCUACAGGGCCAUCUAUGUGACCUGCUCAUAUGAACCCUCCUCAGGUUGUCGUCUGGUCCUAAAAGUCUUGCCUGGCACCAUAUAAAGAUGCUGCAAUGAAGCAAAGUGGAAUUCUGUGUCCAACCCUCAGACUUCUUGGCUACUAAUCUGUGUUUCAGAACAACUGCAAGUCCUCAUUUCUGUAUUGAGAGGUGCAUCAGUGCAGGAAAAUAAACUUUUCAUAUGAGCUCCCACA